UUUAGUCAGGCAACGAGCAAGACCCGUGCCCACAGUUGCCAGCAUACCCUCCGGGGUGAUGGGCACACUGUGGGGACCGCCGCUGCUAAAGCGGAGGAAGGUGCGGGCUACGGUAGGUCAGUAUGCCCCGAAUCAUCCGGGCUACACGCGGGCUACAAUGGUUGGGACAAUGGGCACCUACACCGAGAGGUGAUGGUAAUCUCCUAAACCCAGCCUUAGUUCGGAUUGAGGGCUGCAACUCGCCCUCAUGAAGCCGGAAUCCGUAGUAAUCGCGUAUCAAUAUCACGCGGUGAAUACGUCCCUGCUCCUUGCACA
rnacentral:rRNA from 1 species